AAACUUCGGUCGAUUUAAUUUAAUUCUAGUGGCGGACGGGUGAGUAACGCGUGGGUAACCUGCCUUAUACAGGGGGAUAACAGUCAGAAAUGGCUGCUAAUACCGCAUAAGCGCACAGAGCUGCAUGGCUCAGUGUGAAAAACUCCGGUGGUAUAAGAUGGACCCGCGUUGGAUUAGCUUGUUGGUGGGGUAACGGCCCACCAAGGCGACGAUCCAUAGCCGGCCUGAGAGGGUGAACGGCCACAUUGGGACUGAGACACGGCCCAGACUCCUACGGGAGGCAGCAGUGGGGAAUAUUGCACAAUGGGGGAAACCCUGAUGCAGCGACGCCGCGUGAAGGAAGAAGUAUCUCGGUAUGUAAACUUCUAUCAGCAGGGAAGAUAGUGACGGUACCUGACUAAGAAGCCCCGGCUAACUACGUGCCAGCAGCCGCGGUAAUACGUAGGGGGCAAGCGUUAUCCGGAUUUACUGGGUGUAAAGGGAGCGUAGACGGUGUGGCAAGUCUGAUGUGAAAGGCAUGGGCUCAACCUGUGGACUGCAUUGGAAACUGUCAUACUUGAGUG
rnacentral:rRNA from 1 species